ACAUGCAAGUCGAACGGUAGCAGGCCUUCGGGUGCUGACGAGUGGCGGACGGGUGAGUAACGCGUAGGAAUCUGCCCUGUAGUGGGGGACAACGUGGGGAAACUCACGCUAAUACCGCAUACGCCCUGAGGGGGAAAGCGGGGGACCUUCGGGCCUCGCGCUAUGGGAUGAGCCUGCGUGGGAUUAGCUAGUUGGUAGGGUAAAGGCCUACCAAGGCGACGAUCCCUAGCCGGCCUGAGAGGGUGGCCGGCCACACUGGGACUGAGACACGGCCCAGACUCCUACGGGAGGCAGCAGUGGGGAAUAUUGGACAAUGGGCGCAAGCCUGAUCCAGCAAUGCCGCGUGUGUGAAGAAGGCCUGAGGGUUGUAAAGCACUUUCAGUGGGGAGGAAAAAGCGAAGGUUAAUACCCUUGGUCUUGACAUUACCCAGAGAAGAAGCACCGGCUAACUCCGUGCCAGCAGCCGCGGUAAUACGGAGGGAGCUAGCGUUGUUCGGAAUUACUGGGCGUAAAGCGCACGUAGGCGGCUUUGUAAGUUAGAGGUGAAAGCCUGGAGCUCAACUCCAGAAUUGCCUUUAAGACUGCAUCGCUUGAAUCCAGGAGAGGUGAGUGGAAUUCCGAGUGUAGAGGUGAAAUUCGUAGAUAUUCGGAAGAACACCAGUGGCGAAGGCGGCUCACUGGACUGGUAUUGACGCUGAGGUGCGAAAGCGU
rnacentral:rRNA from 1 species